CACGGCGCACGGGUGCGUAACACGUGGGCAAUCUGCCCUCCGAUGGGGAAUAACCCCGCGAAAGCGGGGCUAAUUCCGCAUAACAUUCCUUGGACUUAGGUUUGAGGAUUCAAAGCACCAAUGCGUCGGAGGAGGAGCCCGCGCCCGAUUAGCUAGUUGGUGAGGUAACGGCUCACCAAGGCAAUGAUCGGUAGCUGGUCUGAGAGGAUGAUCAGCCACACUGGAACUGAGACACGGUCCAGACUCCUACGGGAGGCAGCAGUGGGGAAUCUUGCACAAUGGGCGAAAGCCUGAUGCACCGACGCCGCGUGGGGGAUGAAGCUUCUCGGAGUGUAAACCCCUUUCGACUGGGACGAAUGCCCGCAAGGGAGUGACGGUACCAGUAGAAGAAGCCCCGGCUAACUACGUGCCAGCAGCCGCGGUAAGACGUAGGGGGCCAGCGUUGUUCGGAAUUACUGGGUGUAAAGGGUUCGUAGGCGGUGUGGCAAGUUGGGAGUGAAAUCUCUGGGCUCAACCCAGAGGCUGCUUCCAA
rnacentral:rRNA from 1 species